rnacentral:rRNA from 1 species
UCGGGCGUUGGAAGCUGCUUACAUGCAGUCGACGAUGGACCACCUUCGGGUGGGGAUUAGUGGCGAACGGGUGAGUAACACGUGGGCAAUCUGCCCUGCACUCUGGGACAAGCCCUGGAAACGGGGUCUAAUACCGGAUACUGACCUGCCAAGGCAUCUUGGCGGGUCGAAAGCUCCGGCGGUGCAGGAUGAGCCCGCGGCCUAUCAGCUUGUUGGUGAGGUAAUGGCUCACCAAGGCGACGACGGGUAGCCGGCCUGAGAGGGCGACCGGCCACACUGGGACUGAGACACGGCCCAGACUCCUACGGGAGGCAGCAGUGGGGAAUAUUGCACAAUGGGCGAAAGCCUGAUGCAGCGACGCCGCGUGAGGGAUGACGGCCUUCGGGUUGUAAACCUCUUUCAGCAGGGAAGAAGCGAAAGUGACGGUACCUGCAGAAGAAGCGCCGGCUAACUACGUGCCAGCAGCCGCGGUAAUACGUAGGGCGCAAGCGUUGUCCGGAAUUAUUGGGCGUAAAGAGCUCGUAGGCGGCUUGUCGCGUCGGUUGUGAAAGCCCGGGGCUUAACCCCGGGUCUGCAGUCGAUACGGGCAGGCUAGAGUUCGGUAGGGGAGAUCGGAAUUCCUGGUGUAGCGGUGAAAUGCGCAGAUAUCAGGAGGAACACCGGUGGCGAAGGCGGAUCUCUGGGCCGAUACUGACGCUGAGGAGCGAAAGCGUGGGGAGCGAACAGGAUUAGAUACCCUGGUAGUCCACGCCGUAAACGGUGGGCACUAGGUGUGGGCAACAUUCCACGUUGUCCGUGCCGCAGCUAACGCAUUAAGUGCCCCGCCUGGGGAGUACGGCCGCAAGGCUAAAACUCAAAGGAAUUGACGGGGGCCCGCACAAGCGGCGGAGCAUGUGGCUUAAUUCGACGCAACGCGAAGAACCUUACCAAGGCUUGACAUACACCGGAAAGCAUCAGAGAUGGUGCCCCCCUUGUGGUCGGUGUACAGGUGGUGCAUGGCUGUCCUCAGCUCGUGUCCUGAAAUGUUGGGUUAAUUCCCGCAACGAGCGCAACCCUUGUCCCGUGUUGCCAGCAACUCUUCGGAGGUUGGGGACUCACGGGAAACCGCCGGGGUCAACUCCGAAGGAAGGUGGGGACGACGUCAAGUCAUCAUGCCCCUUAUGUCUUGGGCUGCACACGUGCUACAAUGGCCGGUACAAUGAGCUGCGAUACCGCAAGGUGGAGCGAAUCUCAAAAAGCCGGUCUCAGUUCGGAUUGGGGUCUGCAACUCGACCCCAUGAAGUCGGAGUCGCUAGUAAUCGCAGAUCAGCAUUGCUGCGGUGAAUACGUUCCCGGGCCUUGUACACACCGCCCGUCACGUCACGAAAGUCGGUAACACCCGAAGCCGGUGGCACAUCCGCCUGUGGGACAGAGCUCAUGACUGGUCUACUGGUUCCA